UACGGGGGGGGCAAGCGCUGUUCGGAAUUACUGGGCGUAAAGGGCUCGUAGGCGGCCAACUAAGUCGGAUGUGAAAUCCCCAGGCUUAACCUGGGAACUGCAUCCGAUACUGGAUGGCUUGAAUCCGGGAGAGGGAUGUGGAAUUCCAGGUGUAGCGGUGAAAUGCGUUGAUAUCAUCAGGAACACCGGAGGCGAAGGCGGCUUACUGGGGCCUUUCUGACGCUGAGGAACGAAAGCCAGGGGAGCGAACGGG
rnacentral:rRNA from 1 species